CCUACGGGAGGCAGCAGUGGGGAAUCUUGGGCAAUGGGCGCAAGCCUGACCCAGCAACGCCGCGUGAAGGAAGACGGCUUUCGGGUUUUAAACUUCUUUUCUGAGGGACGAAAAAAGCGACGGUACCUCCGGACUAAGCGACGGCUAACUACGUGCCAGCACCCGCUGUAAUACGGCGGCCGCGAGCGUUAUCCGGAUUUAUUGGGUGUAAAGGUCGUUUAGGUGGGAAAGCAAGGCAGAUGUGAAAACUCAGGGAUCAACCCUGUGCCUGCAUUGGAAACUGUGUUUCUUGAGUGCUGGAGAGGCAAGCGGAAUUCGGGGUGGAGCGGUGAAAUGCGUAGAUAUAAGGAGGAACACCAGUGGCGAAGGCGGCUUGCUGGACAGUAACUGACGCUGAGGCGCGAAAGCGUGGGUAGCAAACAGGAUUAGAUACCCGGGUAGUC
rnacentral:rRNA from 1 species